rnacentral:lncRNA from 1 species
AUGUAGUUGUUGUUUGGUGGGUUUUUUGUUUGGGUGGAGGGUUGUAUGCUUGUUUUUCCCUGCUGACCAUAAAUGCUAUGCCCCCUUUUCAUUGCCCGGGAAGAUGUCUGAGGGCAACAAGAUAAACAAGGUGUUUGAAUGAUAUGUUGUUGAAAUUAUUUUUGUGGUAGUUAGUCUUCAAACUCUUCUCAUUACAGUAAAUUAGGAAGGCAUUGACAGGUCAGUAGUCAAAUGUUGGGCUUAUGGAGUAGUUUUAACAGAUUACUAAUGUACAGAUUUUUAGUUCUUUCCCUUCUGUAGGGAUUUAUUGAGAAGACUGCAGUAAAUGACUGCACUGUAUCUUCAGGUGUGACAGGGAGCAUGUUAAUCCCACCUCAGUAAAAGUGUUCAAAAUUAGGUGGAGGCGUCCUAGAUGGACCAACACUGAAGAUAAAAUACAACAUUUUGGAGUUCAAACUCUUUUGGGUGCAUUUUAGAAAUAACCACUCAGGUGGUGCUGCUGGUGCACACCUAACACUUGGAGAGUAGAGGCAGGUGGAUCUCUUGAGUUUGGCUACCCUGGUCGACUGAUCGAGUUCCAGGACAGCCAGGGCUCCAAAAAUCAAAGCCAGGAAAAAAAAAAAAAAAAAA